GAUGAACGCUGGCGGCGUGCCUAAUACAUGCAAGUCGAGCGAACAGACGAGGAGCUUGCUCCUCUGACGUUAGCGGCGGACGGGUGAGUAACACGUGGAUAACCUACCUAUAAGACUGGGAUAACUUCGGGAAACCGGAGCUAAUACCGGAUAAUAUAUUGAACCGCAUGGUUCAAUAGUGAAAGACGGUUUUGCUGUCACUUAUAGAUGGAUCCGCGCCGCAUUAGCUAGUUGGUAAGUUAACGGCUUACCAAGGCAACGAUGCGUAGCCGACCUGAGAGGGUGAUCGGCCACACGGGAACUGAAACACGGUCCAGACUCCUACGGGAGGCAGCAGUAGGGAAUCUUCCGCAAUGGGCGAAAGCCUGACGGAGCAACGCCGCGUGAGUGAUGAAGGUCUUCGGAUCGUAAAACUCUGUUAUUAGGGAAGAACAAAUGUGUAAGUAACUAUGCACGUCUUGACGGUACCUAAUCAGAAAGCCACGGCUAACUACGUG
rnacentral:rRNA from 1 species